GACGAACGCUGGCGGCGUGCUUAACACAUGCAAGUCGAACGAUGAAGCCGGAGCUUGCUCUGGUGAAUUAGUGGCGAACGGGUGAGUAACACGUGAGUAACCUGCCCUUGACUCUGGGAUAACUGCGGGAAACUGUAGCUAAUACCGGAUACGACCCUCGGAGGCAUCUCCUGGGGGUGGAAAGAAUUUCGGUCAAGGAUGGACUCGCGGCCUAUCCGCUAGUUGGAGAGGUAAAGGCUCACCAAGGCGACGACGCGUAGCCCGCCUGAGAGGGUGACCGGCCACACUGGGACUGAGACACGGCCCAGACUCCUACGGGAGGCAGCAGUGGGGAAUAUUGAACAAUGGGCGCAAGCCUGAUGCAGCAACGCCGCGUGAGGGAUGACGGCCUUCGGGUUGUAAACCUCUUUUAGCAGGGAAGAAGCGAAAGUGACGGUACCUGCAGAAAAAGCACCGGCUAACUACGUGCCAGCAGCCGCGGUAA
rnacentral:rRNA from 1 species